AGAGAGGGAGGCGCGACUGGUUUGAGGGGGAGAGAGAUAACCGAGAGUGAGAGAGUUGAGAUUUGGGUUCCCCUUUUACUUCAUAAAUUGGGCCGAUUUUAAAUGCUGAUUGGGCCUCUGAUUUUAUUUAUCUGGGCCUUUGAUUAUUCUAUUUUUUUUGGGCUGCUGUAUCAUGUCAAUUGGGCUGAUUUUUUUUUUAUUUAUUUAAUUUCAAGUCCAGAAUAAAUCAUUCUAUUCUUGGGCUAAGAGAUAAAAUUAUGAGCUUGAAUUUUAUGUAGUUGGAGCCUGUAUUAUUUAUUUAAUUGAGCCCAACUACUUACUUGCUUAAUCAUUUGGGCCCAAGAUAAUUAUCAUAUUACUUGGACCUCUUCAUUAUUAUUUUAGC
rnacentral:lncRNA from 1 species